ACCAGACUCCUACGGGAGGCAGCAGUGGGGAAUAUUGCACAAUGGGCGAAAGCCUGAUGCAGCGACGCCGCGUGAGUGAAGAAGUAUUUCGGUAUGUAAAGCUCUAUCAGCAGGGAAGAAAAUGACGGUACCUGACUAAGAAGCCCCGGCUAACUACGUGCCAGCAGCCGCGGUAAUACGUAGGGGGCAAGCGUUAUCCGGAUUUACUGGGUGUAAAGGGAGUGUAGGUGGCAUAACAAGUCAGAAGUGAAAGCCCGGGGCUCAACCGCGGGACUGCUUUUGAAACUGCCUGACUGGAGUGCUGGAGAGGCAAGCGGAAUUCCUAGUGUAGCGGUGAAAUGCGUAGAUAUUAGGAAGAACACCAGUGGCGAAGGCGGCUUGCUGGACAGUAACUGACGUUGAGGCUCGAAAGCGUGGGGAGCAAACAGGAUUAGAUACCCGAGUACU
rnacentral:rRNA from 1 species